rnacentral:tRNA from 1 species
GGUGGGUUGGCUCAGUGGUUAGAGCGUAGGUCUCGUAACCGAAAGGUCGCGGUAUCGAAGGCUGAAAUUUAUUU